GGUCUUGUCUGCCUCCGCCGCCUUCCUGCCAGUCUAGCACUUUCUCACCCAGGGAGGCCUAGAACGCGAGCCGCAUUCGCCCCCGGCCCUGACCCCAGGCGCGACUCCAGAGCCUCCCGAGUGGGGCCGGUCUUCCGAGUGGACGGUUAGGCCACGGGUAUUCAAGCGCUGCGAGUUCGCCCGCCUUAUUGCAGCGGCCAGGCCUAAAGGGCUCGGCCACCGCUGAACUACAUUUCCCAGCAGGCAACGCGGCCUCAGUUUCGCUUCCAAAAGGAGGAAGCUAUUCCCCAUGUCAUGAGGACCCCGUGGAGACAGCCAUGUGGUGAGGAACUCAGCCUCCUGCCAGCAGUCAGCACCCACUUGCCAGCCUUUCAUGGAGGCAUUUGUUGAAAUGGAGUUGCCAAAGAUUGAAGAGAUGUAGAUUGCUGACCCACUGCAUGAAGGCAGUUGCCCUACAGAGUCACUUGGACCUGCACUGGCUUGGUAUAAAUCCCUCCAGCACCUACUGCUCUCAAAUCCCAAGGAUCGACAGGCUGUGUCUUUGUAUCUAAGUUUGGAAAGAACCCAGCUCUAUGAGGUUUGAUCUAUUUUGUUUGUGGAUGAGAAAGCAAGCACAAGGCGUAAAGUGGCCAAGGUGACAUGACCAUGAAUUAUCAGAAUCCAGA
rnacentral:antisense_RNA from 1 species